UACGUAGGUGGCAAGCGUUGUCCGGAAUUAUUGGGCGUAAAGCGCGCGCAGGCGGUCUUUUAAGUCUGAUGUGAAAGCCCGUGGCUCAACCACGGAGGGCCAUUGGAAACUGGGGAACUGGAGAACUGAAGAGGAGAGUGGAAUUCCACGUGUAGCGGUGAAAUGCGUAGAUAUGUGGAGGAACACCAGUGGCGAAGGUGACUUUCUGGUCUGUAACUGACGCUGAGGCGCGAAAGCGUGGGGAGCAAACAGG
rnacentral:misc_RNA from 1 species